CGGGGCGUAGCGCAGUUUGGUAGCGCACCUGGUUUGGGACCAGGGGGUCGCAGGUUCAAAUCCUGUCGCCCCGACCA
rnacentral:tRNA from 1 species